AUGUGCAUGCCUGUGAAUGUAAGGUCAGAAAUUGACAUUGGGUGUCCUCCCCGAUUGCUUUUUGCCUCAUUUUUUGAGACAGGGUCUCCCACUCAUGUGGAACUCACUGUAUUGGAGCCUUGGGGGGGGCCAACAAGCCCCUAAGAUUCUCCUGUCUCCAUCCCUGUGUCACAGGGUUACCGAGGCAGAUGUGUGCCGCCAUGUUUGUUUUUUCACAGGAGUAAGAGAGUUUCAAACUUAGGCCCUUACGCCCACACGGCAAGCACUUUACUAACUGACCACCGACCUGGCUUCUAACAGGUGAAAUCUCAGGUCCAGUCAGGUUAAAAACCAAGAGCGAAUAAAAGAUCAUCGAGGCGGGUCUUAAAAGUUAGUUUGGCACAAGAACUAAGUUGAGGAAAUAAACUUUCUAUAAUUUCCUUUUAAUCAUGACUUACUCAAGAAACACGUUUUGUGGUGUGUCGAAUGUGUCAUUUGACACAUUUCAAAAUGUGUCAGAAGGAGUAAGCCAAAUCAUGACAAUGGAAGUUUACCUGGAAGAAAUGAAACCGAAAGCGCUCCUCACGUACCAAAUUCAGUGCAGGAGGAAGGAGGUGCUGAGCCUCUAAGUACUGCACAGCUUUAAAAUUACUCAAAUCACAUUCAUUUUGCCUCACAUUUUGCAUUAAAAAAUUGAAAAUGCAGAAACCAUCAGUCGGUGCAUUUCUGCAAACAGUGCCCUGCAGUUAAAUGGAAUCGCAC
rnacentral:lncRNA from 1 species